rnacentral:lncRNA from 1 species
AAUCACCAAAAAAUACACAAAAAUCAGUGAUAGACUUUUAAGAAAAAGAAUAAAUGGCUCAGUAUGCAUCACAAUAAGUUGUAAGUUUAGUCAAGUUAGAUGUAGUAGAAAAAUAUAACCCUAUAGAUGAACACGUCUUGAGAUAUCUCAAAACAUGGCAAGCUGCAUUCCGAUGUGGUUUCCUAGGAUUAGACUUGAAUUGGCUCAAAUAAUGGACAACAAAAUUAAUGUCUGGAUUAGUAAUGUUGAUGUAUAACAACUAGCCAAUCAAUCUUCUAAACUUAUCUGGAUCAAGAAGCAAAUCACUGGAAGAAAGAUCAAGAUUUAAAAUAUGCUUAUGUUUAAUUUUUAUUGUGCCACUUUGUUGAGGUGUAUAAAGGCAAGUAGUUUGGUAAAUGACACUUUAGAAAAAAAUAAAGAAGCACAUUGUGAAUUAAUGAAUUCUCCUCUAUUAUCAGACCUAAGGAUUUAAGUUGUUUGUCAAAUUAUGUUUGGACAUAUUUGAAAAAAAAAGUCAAAAUAGAGUGUGUUUGAUCUUUGAACUUAAGCAUAUAUGUCCAUGUGGCUUUAGUUUUGUCAUUGAUAAUAAUGAUGAAAAAUCUAGUACCAGUAAUAGAAGGUAUAGCAAAAUGACUCCAUAGGUCUAUAUGAAUCAGCUCAAAAGGAGUUGUGGCAGUGGUAUUACUUUUAUGAAAAGGCAAUUUAGACAUUUUGGCUAAGGGACAUAGUGGGCACAAGUAAUUAGAAUCAACAUAUUUCUUAAAAUCAUGUAUAUGAUACAUCUUUUAACAUAAAGAAUGUCCUGACCUAGUAUGAAAAACAGAAAAAGGAACUUUUGUAAUUGAAUUUAUAAAAGAGGCAGUCCAUUUAUUACAAUCAUCAAUCUUAGUGGUAUUUACAGGGAGAUUGGAAGAUAUCACAUUACAAACAGAAUCAAGACAGGACUGAAUGAUUGAAUUACAAAAACUAGUACUAUCUAAGAUGUAUAAUCCAUUGGUUAUGCUUCCAACAGCUACUGUAGAAUUAUUUUUCUGGUCUUGAAAGAAAACAGCAAGAUGAGUAGAAUUUUAAUGUCAAGUUAGAGGUUUUAAGUAAUUUGGACACAAACAAUAGAUUUACAUUGAAAUUAGGAACAAAGAGGACAUUCAGCAAUUUCACGCGUUUGUGCAGUGUAAUGGUGCCUACAUGUGAGACCUGUGUGGAAGAACCAUUUGCUAAAUGGACAGUUAUAGGUGAAACAAUUGUAGAGAUAUAUGGC